rnacentral:rRNA from 1 species
AUGUGUCACACGGGACUGCCGGUUUUAAGCCGGAGGAAGGUGGGGAGUGACGUCAAGUCAGCAUGGCCUUUAUAUCCUGGGCUACACACACGCUACAAUGGUCGGUACAAUAGGUUGCCAAGCCGCGAGGCGGAGCCAAUCCAAAAAAAGCCGGCCUCAGUUCAGAUUGUAGGCUGCAACUCGCCUGCAUGAAGAUGGAGUUGCUAGUAACCGCAGGUCAGCAAUACUGCGGUGAAUACGUUCCCGGGUCUU